UACGAGGGGUGCAAACGUUAUUCGGAAUCAUUGGGCGUAAAGGGUGCGUAGGCGGCAUGAUAAGUCUAUAGUUAAAUUUCUCAGCCUAACUGGGAACUUGCUGUAGAUACUAUUGUACUAGAGAGUGGAAGAGAGAAGUGGAAUUCUCGGAGUAGCGGUAAAAUGCGUAGAUCUCGAGAGGAAUACCGAUGGCGAAGGCAGCUUCUUGGUCCAUUUCUGACGCUGAGGCACGAAAGCGUGGGGAGCAAACAGG
rnacentral:rRNA from 1 species